GUGAGUAUUACAGCUCACAAACCUAGUGCAGACCCAAAGUGCUAGGAAUAACAACAUUUAGUUCAAAAAACCAAAAAAACCCCUCCUCCUCUCCCCCCCCCCCACCCCCCCCCAAGAAAGUGACCCAAGCAGGUUGCCGCUGUUGGUCUGCGUGGUCUGCUUUUAUUCCCUUAUCUGGCCCCACCCACAUCCUGCUGAUUGGUCCAUUUUACAGAGAGCUGAUUGGCCCAUUUUACAGAGAGCUGAUUGGUCCGUUUUGACAGAGUGCUGAUUGGUGCGUUUACAAUCCUUUAGCUAGACAGAAAAGUUCUCCAAGUCCUCACUGGACCCAGAAGCGCAACCGGCUUCACCUCUCGCAGUCCAGGCGGGACUUUGCGGCACCUGUCCCAGGCACUCCUGCUUCCCAGAGGGAGGUCUUCCCAGCCAAUCAAGAGGAAGAGAGGAGAAGCUAGUAACAGAAGGAGACCCGCCAUCGUGGCCAACGACACCGCGAAGAGGGAAGGGCGGUCCAUGCACGAGACCCAGCGUCCAAUCAAGCCCAGCAGGCGCCGGCCAGCCGCGAGGCCUCUGCCCUGUGGGGCGAUGCUGCUGUGUAACAAGAUCUCCUCCGCCGGCGAAGAAUUAAGGUGCUUCUCUUUUCUUCCCCUUCUAAUUCUUUUUUUUUUUUUUUCUAUUACCAAAAUGACUGCAGCUAGCAUGGAUGCACAUGAUUCCCCUGUGUUCAGGCAGGCAUCCCUAUCCACAGCAGAGGCCUCAAACAGGCUUUCUCUGCUGGCUUGUGCUGGACGUUUCCAUAUUGUUUUCUGAGAAGGUUGUAAAAAUUAUUCACCACCAGCCGCGCAGCCAAAUACUUUUUACACCUUUACCAUCGCUAGAAACGUUAAUCCUUGUCUUUCACCUCCAGUUUUAUGAGUGAAAAACAAUAGCUCAUGAUUACCUUCAUCAACAUCUUUGAUUUCCAGUGAAAUCAAGGAUUCUUUAGAUUUGUGUUUGUAGAUCUCUAGAUAUCUUUCUUUAAUCCACAGAAUUUACCCGUGUUUGUGACUUGGAACUCUGUGUUGAUUUUGUCCCCUGGCAGCCUGUUUUCCAGACAGUCCAUCUGCUCUUUCCGUGGAACAUGCCCUUCCCAGUGUACCUCACCGCCCGGAGAUACAUCCGUUUCUUUCUGGGAUCUCUAAUUUGAACCUUGUCUGCAAGACCAAUUUUCAUUGUUUUUUGGGUUUUUGUUUUUUGUUUUUUGUUUUUUUUUCCCCCCAGGAAACCAUGUUUACUAAGCAUGUUCUUUUCCAGGUGAAUUUCAGUCAGUGCGUCAAAUUCCGUAAAAGAUGCAAUUGCAGUUUAACUGGGAUUCCACGGUGCAUUUCGAUCACUUUGGGAGACCGUUGACAUCUUUACAAUGUUAAUUUUCUCGUUCAAGAUUUCUCUCCAUUUACUCAGAAAGUUUCUUUUGUGUCUGCCAAUAAAGUUUUAGUUUUCCUCUCACAGGUUUUGUGUGCAUUUUUGUUACUUCCAACCUCUGCCCCCUGGUAUUUUACAGUUUUUCUAGCUAUUGUAAAUGGGACAGCUUCUUUCAAAUGGUUAUUUCUUGUGUAUAAAGAUAUGGAUUUUUAU
rnacentral:lncRNA from 10 species